rnacentral:tRNA from 1 species
CCGUAGCUCAGUGGUAGAGCGUCCGGCUGUUAACUGGCAGGUCUCGGGUUCGAUCCCCG